ensembl:lncRNA
ACUUUUUGUGUGUGCCUGUUAAAUCUACGAGCUGAGAUGAGGAAACUCCUCCCCGCGAGUAAAUAUUCAAUCACUAUGCUCUAAAGUUAGGGGGCGCUGAACCAUCAUUCAACACUUUAACAUGGCGAGCGGCGGUGAAGCGAAGCUACAGUACGAGGAAGCGCCGGCGUCUUUCAAAUCCGUGGUGUGGAGACAUUUCGGUUUUGCCGUUGAGUAUAAUGCCGAGGAAGAAAAAACGGUAAACAAAAAAAUGACUAUCUGCAAGCAUUGUUUUACACGUGUAGCCUACUCAAACGGAAACACUUCCAACAUGACUGCACAUCUGCGGCGCCAUCACCCAGCAAUAUCACUGUCUGAAGGCAGGAUAUCAGAGCAGACAGAUCAUAUCUGAAAGAAGCACACUCAUCCAGGUUUAACCGUGGCCCGUCAUUCUGCUGAAGGUGACAAACCACAUAGGAAUCCUGAUGCCUUUCCAGUGUGAACCUGUAGUUUUUAAUUCCUAAAGAAAUCAGGACACGAUGACUGGAUUUUAUCUCAGAUGAUCUGUAUUGAAACAUCACCAAGCGUGUUAACUGCCAUGCUGUGGACCCGACAGCUGAUCCUAUCAAAUUACAACGGGAUGCUGAGUCAGUUUCUGAGUGUGAGGACUACAAUUAACCUUGGUUCCUUCGGCCAUGAAUCAAGUCAGAAUAGGGAGAAGGUCUUCAAGAUAAACAGGGGCUGCUGGUUGCCUUUUCUCCUCCAGGAUUUAUGGACGCGUCUCAAUGAAUAGAGUGGCAGUUCUGACUGUCCCACGCUUCACUGGUCAAGCUGACACCAGUCCUACAGGUGAAGAGAUCCAAGCUGUCCUGGUGUCACGGAGGAGAGGAAGAGAAGAUGGGUGAAUAAAGAGGAGAUGCUAAUUCACCUCCUGCCAUUUAUUGAUCACGGCCGAGUGGAGCGUGGAUUCAUUACGGCUCAUUCAUUCUCCACUCAGACACAUCUAGUGAACGAAUGAGUGAGCCGCAGCCCGGAUGUGUGAGCAGCUUGAUGAAGCGCUCAUCAUUUCACAGGCUCUUGUCCAUGCUGUGUGUGCAUGUCCUAAUCAACCCUCUGUGCACAUACUGCGUAGGAAGCAAGUGGCAGUUUGUGAAUGGAGAUUUCUAGAGCAUGAAGAUAAUUGAAUCCAUUACUCAGAGGCCUGUGGACCUACACCUCUUCUGUCUUCACGUCGUCAGACGGACUUGAACACAAAUACCUGGACUAUGAUGGAUAACAGCUGGACGAGAUGGAUGCUGAUAGCUGGGAGUUAGCUACAACACUAGCAGUAAACAUCACAGUGUUUAUGUA